UCGCUACUCACUCAUCUCUUCCAGUGAUGGAUUGAACGUGGCAUCGUUCUCCUUUCUGCUCCUCUGCUAGUGUCUUUCCGACAGAACUACCCUUUCAUUUUAAGACAAUCCACAUAACUGUCCAAAAAGUAACAUCCUUGGAAAUCCCAUUUCUUUGUCUCUCUCCAUCACAAUCAAAGGAAAAGGCAAUCAAAGGAAAAGGAACAGCCUUUUCCAUUUCUUUUAUCCUCUCUUUCUCUCUGAUACAUAAAAUUUUGCCCCUCAAUGCAGCUUUCGAAUGUUCUUACUUUUUCUCUCUGUAGCUUUUGCCGCAGUUACUGUUUGAAUCCUUCAAUAAUGCUAAAACGGUAACAUAGUAAAGUUCUCUCGGAUUAAAACUCAGGAAAUUUUCUUUUCCAGGAAGCCUACUUUCUUUUCUUGGGGGAGAAUAUUUUUUUUGAAUCAAACUUUCUUGGGAGAUUCUUGUCACAAGUUUUUAACUUUCUUGGGAGAUUCUUGUCACAAGUUUUUAUUUUUCUUGGUGGGUUUUGGACUUUAGGUUGAAGGAUUGAAAGGAUGUUUUUGAGUGAAUGAAGCAAUAGUGUGCAGAUCAAAGAAGAUGAUCAUAAAGAUGUGAAGGCCUUUUAGAGAAGGGUUUAUGGUUUGGAUUGCUGGGGAAAACGUUUAAAGAUUGAUGGUCUUGAAUCUUAAGGACAAGGAGGUGAUUUGAUAGUGUGUUUGUUUGAAGACUUGACAAGAACAUUUAAGUUUCGAGCCGGAACAACCUGUUCUUCUUGAAUAAUACCCUGAUUCAAAGCCAAAGAAUCUCCUGCUGCUACGAGAACUAAUAAACAAGCAAAGCAUUAUGAUCGCCAGGGGAGACCCAGAAUGUCACGGGAUCUCCGAAAGUGGAGUUCGGGGAGAUAGACACUACUGCGCCUUUUCAAUCUGUUAAAGAUGCCGUCACUCUUUUUGGUGAAGGUGCUUUCUCCGGGGAAAACCCCGCCAUAAAGAAGGCAGAAGCUUAUUCUGCAGAGAAAGUACUAGCAAAGGAGACACAACUUCACUUGGUUCUGAAAGAGUUGAACAAGUUAAAGGAGCAUAUAGAAAAUGCCGA